UACAGAGGUGGCAAGCGUUGUUCGGAAUUACUGGGCGUAAAGGGCGAGUAGGUGGCCAUCUAAGUCAGACGUGAAAUCCCCCGGCUUAACCUGGGAACUGCGUCUGAUACUGGAUGGCUUGAGUUUGGGAGAGGGACGCGGAAUUCCAGGUGUAGCGGUGAAAUGCGUAGAUAUCUGGAGGAACACCAAUGGCGAAGGCAGCUCGCUGGGACGUGACUGACGCUGAGACGCGAAAGCGUGGGGAGCAAACAGG
rnacentral:rRNA from 1 species